AUGUGCUCUCCUGCUGUUCAAUAAACACCAAAAAUUGCAUACAUAUUUAUUUCCAACUAGAAAUUUUACAUCUUUAUUUGCCCUUAUUUAAAUAAAAUAAAGUAAAACUGAAUAUUCAUAAACUUGAACGGAAAGCAUCUAAAUACAAUACGCCCCCAUGUGUUGUACCUCCCCCAGGGUCGACAUUUGUCUUUCCAACUAUUUACAUAACUGAAGAAUGGAAUCUCAAAGUGUGCAAGAGGUCGCCCUCAGUAAUCCUAUUAUUUUGACUCAAAUAUUAAAACAGAGCUCGGCCCCGUUGCGGAGUUGUCGACUAGUUAGCCACUUUUGGAAUGAAAUCGUCCUCCACCUGCCAAAUACCAGGCUCGCGUUAAACCUUGACUACAAGAUCUACGAGGAAAACAACGCACUCCCAUUUUUCGCCAUGUGCUCCCCAUCCGAUGACCGACUCGCGAAACGUGUCAGCGCCACGUGUCCCACCGUUAUCAAAUGCACCCCCUCUCACAGCAUUAAUCCCUUCACCUACAGGAUUAUGCAUAUUUGUGACAAAUUUAGCGACCGGGUUCAAAUUCUAGAUAUUUUCAUCGAGUUUGAAGACUGUUUACAAGUUAUUUUUCAAAUUUUGAAAAAUUACUGCCCCAAUUUAAAGCAGGUACAUAUCGUUCACUUCCGCGACGAGUAUGAAUCCGACAUCGAUGCAGAAAUUCUACCAGCGCCGUUACAGAUAAAACCAAAUUUGACCUGGUUCACAGUCUAUUGUGUGAAAAACGUGACCCCGUCGCUCACCACGCUUAUCCAGCUGGUCAUGGAUGCCUCGCCAAACUUGAAAAAGGUCAGAAUUCCGUGGGGAUUCUAUCCAGAUCUUGGAAAUUCCAAGUGUCUCGAUAACUUGGCUAUUACACUGAAUGAAGUUCGACCAAUGGUCGUCGCCCUGACGGAAUUUAAUCUCCCCGAGCUCUCCCGAAUGUUGGGUCAGGUGGGUGACCAACUCGUCACCUUACAGUUUGAACAUGCCGACAUUGAAGGAGUGUCGAACAGGCUGGAUUUCAAAAACUCCUUGCCCACGGCCAGAUUUCGUUUGCCGAGAAAUAUGUCGAAACUGGUGUCCUUCCAGAACGACAUGAUCGACAUUUUUCAACGCGGGAUCUCCUUCAAGACAUCGAAGGACUCCCGGCUCUCAAGUACUUCGCAGUUGGAACAAUAUUUUUGGGAUCGAGAUGUGUCGAAGAAACUUUAGAAAUUAUGUAUGAAAAGAAAACCAUUUUGAGUAGUGUAAUUAAGUUGAAGAUUUCCGAAAUGCACGAUCCCAGACUUUUGGAGGGGUUGAAGACGGCAUUUCCGAACUUGAGAGAGUUGAUUGUGACCACUAGUGAAGAAAUGGACUCGCGAGGAGAGGUGAGCGGGAUGGAGUUGGGCGUCGUGCUGAAAGCUUGUGGGGAUUGGGGGACCCUGAAACAUUUGGAAAUCGUUGUGCCAUCUUAUCCGAAACAGAUCAUGGAUAUCAUUCAGGCUUUACUCGAUGCUGAGGCGAAGGGGGUUUUUAAAGGGCUAAAAACUUUGAGGAUUUUGACAAACUGUGAAAAUUAUGAGAUACACGAGUUGACCGAAAACGAGCUGGAUCUGUUGAAGAAAUUACUGAUCGCAAUGGAUGGAAUGGAUGCGGUCACAAUUUCCGAUCUUUUUUUUUGCGAAGAAUCUCUAAGGAAUAUACUGCAUUUCCUGGAAACAAACAAAAUGAACGUGUCAAAGUUUAAGAUGUUUCAAGAGGAGAAAUCUGUCAGCGAUUCGGAAGACUCGCCCGAACGAUCUGAAGCAGAGGAUGAUUUUUACUAAAUUUUGAACUUAUGUUUGGAUUUGUUUGUAAGCAAAGUUAGUUAAAAAUUAAAAGUUAAUAAUUGAUACAUAUGUAGAUUAGCUUGAAAUUAUAUACAUAUGUAAAUACCUACAUAAAAAUAUUCCUACCAUACAAAAAUUUUGUAAAUCUGCAUACAUAUGUAUGUAUGUAAUACUUCCAGGUUUCUCAUAAUUUCAGCCCAUUAAUAAAAUAAAU